rnacentral:tRNA from 1 species
GUGGGCGUAGCUCAAUUGGAUAGAGCAGCUGACUUCGGAUCAGCAGGUUGGGGGUUCGAGCCCCUCCGCCCAUA